rnacentral:rRNA from 1 species
GACGAACGCUGGCGGCGUGCUUAACACAUGCAAGUCGAACGGAAAGGCCUGCUUUCCCUUGUGGAUUGCGGGUACUCGAGUGGCGAACGGGUGAGUAACACGUGAGUGAUCUGCCCCCAACUUGGGUAUAAGCCUGGGAAACUGGGUCUAAUUCCCGAUAGGACUGCAGGGUGGUGCCUGUGGUGGAAAACGAUUUUCUAGUGGUUGGGGAUGAGCUCGCGGCCUAUCAGCUUGUUGGUGGGGUAAUGGCCUACCAAGGCGGCGACGGGUAGCCGGCCUGAGAGGGUGGACGGCCACAUUGGGACGGAGAUACGGCCCAGACUCCUACGGGAGGCAGCAGUGGGGAAUAUUGCACAAUGGGCGGAAGCCUGAUGCAGCGACGCCGCGUGGGGGAUGACGGCCUUCGGGUUGUAAACUCCUUUCGACCGCGAGGAAGCCACCUGGUUGGAAGGGUGGUGACGGUAGUGGUAGAAGAAGCACCGGCUAACUACGU